rnacentral:rRNA from 1 species
UACGAAGGGGGCUAGCGUUGUUCGGAAUUACUGGGCGUAAAGCGCACGUAGGCGGCUAUUUAAGUCAGGGGUGAAAUCCCAGAGCUCAACUCUGGAACUGCCUUUGAUACUGGGUAUCUUGAGUAUGGAAGAGGUAAGUGGAAUUGCGAGUGUAGAGGUGAAAUUCGUAGAUAUUCGCAGGAACACCAGUGGCGAAGGCGGCUUGCUGGUCCAUUACUGACGCUGAGGUGCGAAAGCGUGGGGAGCAAACAGG